GUGCUCGCUUCAGCAGCACAUACACUAGAAUCAGAAGGAUAUGGACAAGGUCAGCACUGCCUCUGCACGGGGAUGGCACUCAAAUUCGUAAAGCGUUCCAUAUUUUU
ensembl:snRNA Gm22226 U6 spliceosomal RNA